CCAAGCUCUCUCUCCUUAGUUACAGCAAACAAUCAGCGUACCAACUGGAAGAGGCACAAACAUUCGAUCUUCAGGUUUGUACGUGCCAAAGAAAAUGGUUAUCAGAUAUACGUGAAAUGAGGAGCACUGUUUUACGAGCUGUUCAUAUAAGUCAAAUGAUCCAGGUUAUGUUCAGACACAAAUGGACAAACGGAAAGAAGAAAUUUGGGGCAGCAGUACCAUGAAGUGUAAGGACAACUGUGGCCCAAGCUGCCCCCAUGAGGAACAUGUAGCCCUGUGCCACUAUUCCUUGGACUUCACACAGCUUGCCUGGAACUUGGUUGACUCUUUCCUCUCCCAGCUUCUGUUGGAGGAGCUUGUGCUGGAUGUGGUCCUGGAGAUCUUCACAGAGUUUAUCAUGAUUACAGCAUGUGCUAGCAGACAACUUCUUGACCUCUUCUGGAGCACUUGA
rnacentral:lncRNA from 1 species